rnacentral:rRNA from 1 species
UACAGAGGUCCCAAGCGUUGUUCGGAUUCAUUGGGCGUAAGGGUGCGUAGGUGGCGCCGUAAGUGGGUGUGAAAUUUCGGAGCUUAACUCCGAAACUGCAUUCCAUACUGCGGUGCUUGAGGACUGGAGAGGAGACUGGAAUUCGAUGGUGUAGCAGUGAAAUGCGUAGAUAUCAGGAAGAACACCCGUGGCGAAGGCGGCUCUCUGGGACGGUACUGACGCUGAGACGCGAAAGCGUGGGAGCGAACAGG